UACGAAGGGGGCUAGCGUUGCUCGGAAUCACUGGGCGUAAAGGGUGCGUAGGCGGGUUUUUAAGCAGGGGUGAAAUCCUGGAGCUCAACUCCAGAACUGCCUUUGAUACUGAAGAUCUUGAGUUCGGGAGAGGUGAGUGGAACUGCGAGUGUAGAGGUGAAAUUCGUAGAUAUUCGCAAGAACACCAGUGGCGAAGGCGGCUCACUGGCCCGAUACUGACGCUGAGGCACGAAAGCGUGGGGAGCAAACAGG
rnacentral:rRNA from 1 species